rnacentral:sRNA from 1 species
UUGAAAGCCCAUGAGAGUGACACCCAGACAACACGUAUACCUCAGGCAGCAGUCGAGGAUGCUUACUCUACUCCACUCCCUGCUCGUUAUCCCCAGCUCUGACCUGGAAGCGCCACCUCCAGGGCAGAGAAGGGGAGGUCAGUCUCCCUGCCACAUUCAGUCCCUGGCUGUG